rnacentral:rRNA from 1 species
UUACGGUCAAAUCACGCUGAAAACACCGGUUCUCGUUCGAUCACCGAAGUUAAGCAUCGUAGAGCCAGGUCAGUACUUAGUUGGGGGACCGCUUGGGAACACCUGGUACUGUAA